rnacentral:tRNA from 1 species
GUUAAUAUAGUUUAAAAAAACAUUAGGUUGUGGUCCUAAAAAUAGAAGUUUAACCCUUCUUGUUUA